rnacentral:sRNA from 1 species
UAGAUAAGUACUUGGUGCUGUUAUAUC